CCCUUAGAUGGUCUGGGCGGCACGCGCGCUACAAUGAUGCAUUCAAAAAGUCUUCUGACCUUAGAAGGUUGGGUAUUGUCCAAAGUGCAUCGUGAUGGGGAUAGUUUAUUGCAAUUUUUAAUCUUGAACGAGGAAUUCCUAGUAAGUACAGGUCAUCAACUUGUGUUGAUUACGUCCCUGCCCUUUGUACACACCGCCCGUCGCUCCUACUGAUUGAGUGUCUCGGUGAAUUCUUUGAUCUUCUGUCGAUUCAGUUCACUGAUCCGACGGUGGAAAGUUGAAUGAACUUCGUCACUUAGAGGAGGGAGAAGUCGUAACA
rnacentral:rRNA from 1 species